rnacentral:lncRNA from 1 species
UGAAUUUUUUAUCAGUACAGAUUACUUCACAACUUUCAAUUCGUUGUAGAAGUGUUAUGUAAAGAGAAUACUUAUAUUCUUUCAGCUUAUAUAUAUAAUUGCUAUUACUUGCUGGGCACUCAAAUGCUCAUCCUUGCUUAAAUUAAAUGUUUUCAGUUAUGUAUGAGCAACCUGAAGGCUCAGGCACGAACAAGGGGAAAGAAAAGUUGUUCGAAUGAGUUUAUAUUAUGAGUUAAUGGUUAUAGUUAGUAAGACAAUGGAAUCUAUUGUCAGGUAUUGUAAGGAAUGUAUUUGAAGGUCACGUACCUGGGGAAGUAAACUUUGAUGUAUGUAAAUUACGUUCGAAUGUAUUAUUAUUUAGUAUUAUUCAGCUUAAAGAAAUGGUAUCGUGGAGAACCGAG